rnacentral:misc_RNA from 1 species
AACAAUCUUUCUCUGGUUGAGUAUGAACUAGUUACUGUUCAGGGAUGAUCAGCAUCUUCAGGAAGUGAAUAUUUGGAAUUUAGUGGAGUUAUUUUGUUUGCUAUUUAUGAACUGUUUUGACUGAGAGACAGCUUUUGAAUGUGGUACAAAGUUUUGGUUAAGAUGUAAUUUUAAUCUCUGUAUGGGAAUUGGUAAUUGCAAAA